UACGUAGGGUGCAAGCGUUAAUCGGAAUUACUGGGCGUAAAGCGUGCGCAGGCGGUUUUGUAAGUUUGUCGUGAAAGCCCCGGGCUCAACCUGGGAACUGCAUUUGUGACUGCAAGGCUAGAGUACGGCAGAGGGGGAUGGAAUUCCGCGUGUAGCAGUGAAAUGCGUAGAUAUGCGGAGGAACACCAAUGGCGAAGGCAAUCCCCUGGGCCUGUACUGACGCUCAUGCACGAAAGCGUGGGGAGCAAACAGG
rnacentral:rRNA from 1 species